GAUGAACGCUGGCGGCGUGCCUAAUACAUGCGAGUCGAGCGAACAGACGAGGAGCUUGCUCCUUUGACGUUAGCGGCGGACGGGUGAGUAACACGUGGGUAACCUACCUAUAAGACUGGGAUAACUUCGGGAAACCGGAGCUAAUACCGGAUAAUAUUUCGAACCGCAUGGUUCGAUAGUGAAAGAUGGCUCUGCUAUCACUUAUAGAUGGACCUGCGCCGUAUUAGCUAGUUGGUAAGGUAACGGCUUACCAAGGCAACGAUACGUAGCCGACCUGAGAGGGUGAUCGGCCACACUGGAACUGAGACACGGUCCAGACUCCUACGGGAGGCAGCAGUAGGGAAUCUUCCGCAAUGGGCGAAAGCCUGACGGAGCAACGCCGCGUGAGUGAUGAAGGUCUUCGGAUCGUAAAACUCUGUUAUUAGGGAAGAACAAACGUGUAAGUAACUGUGCACGUCUUGACGGUACCUAAUCAGAAAGCCACGGCUAACUACGUG
rnacentral:rRNA from 1 species